rnacentral:rRNA from 1 species
AUUGAACGCUGGCGGCAGGCCUAACACAUGCAAGUCGAGCGGAGCGGCGGACGGGGGAGUAAUGUCUGGGAAACUGCCUGGUAGUGGGGGAGAACGUCCGGAAACGGGGGCUAAUACAGCAUACUAUCAGAUGAGCGUAGGUCGGAUUAGCUAGUUGGUGGGGUAAAGGCCUACCAAGGCGACGAUCCGUAACUGGUCUGAGAGGAUGAUCAGUCACACUGGAACUGAGACACGGUCCAGACUCCUACGGGAGGCAGCAGUGGGGAAUAUUGGACAAUGGGCGAAAGCCUGAUCCAGCCAUGCCGCGUGUGUGAAGAAGGUCUUCGGAUUGUAAAGCACUUUAAGUUGGGAGGCGUUACCAACAGAAUAAGCACCGGCUAACUUCGUGCCAGCAGCCGCGGUAAUUA